rnacentral:rRNA from 1 species
GUGAGGAAUAUUGCGCAAUGGAGGCAACUCUGACGCAGCCAUGCCGCGUGCAGGAAGAAGGCGCUACGCGUUGUAAACUGCUUUUAACCGGGAAGAAACCCCAGGACGUGUCCUGGGUUGACGGUACCGGAGGAAUAAGCACCGGCUAACUUCGUGCCAGCAGCCGCGGUAAUACGAAGGGUGCAAGCGUUAUCCGGAUUCAUUGGGUUUAAAGGGUGCGUAGGCGGAGCGUUAAGUCAGUGGUGAAAUCCUGCAGCUUAACUGUAGACUUGCCAUUGAUACUGGCGCUCUUGAGUGCGCUUGAAGUGGGCGGAAUGUGCCGUGUAGCGGUGAAAUACUUAGAUAUGGCACAGAACACCAAUUGCGAAGGCAGCUCACUAAGGCGAUACUGACGCUGAGGCACGAAAGCGUGGGGAUCGAACAGGAUUAGAUACCCUUGUAGUCC